UACGAACGCUGGCGGCGUGCUUAACACAUGCAAGUCGAACGGAAAGGCCCUGCUUGCAGGGUACUCGAGUGGCGAACGGGUGAGUAACACGUGGGUGAUCUGCCCUGCACUUCGGGAUAAGCCUGGGAAACUGGGUCUAAUACCGGAUAGGAGCCAUUUUUAGUGUGAUGGUUGGAAAGUUUUUUCGGUGUAGGAUGAGCUCGCGGCCUAUCAGCUUGUUGGUGGGGUAAUGGCCUACCAAGGCGGCGACGGGUAGCCGGCCUGAGAGGGUGGACGGCCACAUUGGGACUGAGAUAAGGCACAGACGCCGACGGGAGGCAGCAGUGGGGAAUAUUGCACAAUGGGCGCAAGCCUGAUGCAGCGACGCCGCAUGGGGGAUGACGGCCUUCGGGUUGUAAACUCCUUUCGCUAGGGACGAAGCUUUUUGUGACGGUACCUAGAUAAGAAGCACCGGCUAACUACGUG
rnacentral:rRNA from 1 species